AGCUCGUGCUCCCAGCACUAUGCAGCAGUAGCUUGUAGUAUAAUUUGAAGCAACGAGAAGAACAUUACCUGGACCUGCCAUCCCUUGCAUAGCCUAGAGAUAGGUGAAGCCCUUCGGGGCAAGGAAACAAAUGGUGCAUGGUUGUCGUCAGCUCGUGUCGUGAGAUGUUAGGUUAAGUCCUGCAACGAGCGCAACCCUUGUUAUUAGUUGCUACCAUUAAGUUGAGCACUCUAAUGAGACUGCCUGGGUAACCAGGAGGAAGGUGGGGAUGACGUCAAAUCAUCAUGCCCCUUAUGUCCAGGGCUACACACGUGCUACAAUGGUAGGUACAAUAAGACGCAAGACCGUGAGGUGGAGCAAAACUUAUAAAACCUAUCUCAGUUCGGAUUGUAGGCUGCAACUCGCCUACAUGAAGCUGGAGUUGCUAGUAAUCGCGAAUCAGAAUGUCGCGGUGAAUACGUUCCCGGGCCUUGUACACACCGCCCGUCACCCCUUGAGAGCUGGUAACACCCGAAGUCCGUGAGGUAACCGUAAGGAGCCAGCGGCCGAAGGUGGGAAUUAUG
rnacentral:rRNA from 1 species